rnacentral:rRNA from 1 species
UACGUAGGGGGGCAAGCGUUGUCCGGAAUUAUUGGGCGUAAAGCGCGCGCAGGCGGCUUCUUAAGUCUGAUGUGAAAGCCCACGGCUCAACCGUGGAGGGUCAUUGGAAACUGGGGAGCUUGAGUGCGGAAGAGGAGAGUGGAAUUCCACGUGUAGCGGUGAAAUGCGUAGAGAUGUGGAGGAACACCAGUGGCGAAAGCGGCUCUCUGGGUCCUGUAACUGACGCUGAGGCGCGAAAGCGUGGGGAGCAAACAGG